UCUAUCAAAUUCAAACACACAAGCUUUCCACUAAGAUUUUAUACACUCAAAUCUCUUCUACGAAUAAGUUUUCAAGCAAGCAAGGGGAGGAGUAUUUUCAAGUUGGAGCACAAAUCAAACAAUCUUUAUCAUUCUUUCAAGGUCCAUCGCGAGGAACGUAACUCCAAGUGAGUUAGUAUUAUUUUACGGAGUUUGGAAGCAUACAAGGUUGAGCUGUGAUGGAGUGGAGGGUGCUGAUCCAAAGUGGGGCUUACUCUUAUUCUUAUGCAGUACUCUCGGAGGUUCAUGUCUUCAUACAUGGAACCGUGUUUCGGUCAUUUCCGCUGUGCAUUGAAGCAAUCCAAUUCUAUGUGACUCUGAUGUUUGUUAAAGUUGUGCUGUAUGAACCUCUAACUCAAGUCGUUAUGAUCGAGCUAGUCUAUUCAAAGUAUAUUCUUUUCAAAUAACCCUUGAAUAUAUGAUCUACCCAUGUUUAUUUUCCCCAA